UGGGCACCAAUUUGACUCAACACGCAGGGUUCGAUUCCGGAGAGCGGUGGGCACCAAUUUGACUCAACACGCAUGGGUUCGAUUCCGGAGAGCGGUGGGCACCAAUUUGACUCAACACGCAUUCUGACUCAACACGCAAUUUGACUCAACACGCAAUUUGACUCAACACGCAAUUUGACUCAACACGCAAUUUGACUCAACACGCAAUUCGACUCAACACGCAAUUUGACUCAACACGCAAUUUGACUCAACACGCAAUUUGACUCAACACGCAAUUUGACUCAACACGCAUGGGUUCGAUUCCGGAGAGUCUUAACAGUGGAUAAUUUGA
rnacentral:rRNA from 1 species